rnacentral:rRNA from 1 species
GACGAACGCUGGCGGCGUGCUUAACACAUGCAAGUCGAGCGGUAAGGCCCUUUUGGGGGUACACGAGCGGCGAACGGGUGAGUAACACGUGGGUGACCUGCCCUCAGCUCUGGGAUAAGCCUGGGAAACUGGGUCUAAUACUGGAUAUGACCUUUCCUCGCAUGGGGGUUGGGUGGAAAGUUUUUCGGCUGGGGAUGGGCCCGCGGCCUAUCAGCUUGUUGGGUGGGGUGAUGGCCUACCAAGGCGACGACGGGUAGCCGGCCUGAGAGGGCGACCGGCCACACUGGGACGUGAGACACGGCCCAGACUCCUACGGGAGGGCAGCAGUGGGGAAGUAUUGCGCAAUGGGCGGAAGCCUGACGCAGCGACGCCGCGU